rnacentral:ncRNA from 1 species
UAUAAAGCAAUGAUGGAGAUAAGUAUUUUAUGAUAAGUUGCAGCGAGUCGGUGGUUGGUGUGAACCGAUACUUUAGUAAUAUACACUCACUCCUAAGCAGUAUCUGCGAAAGGUUUUUCCUAUUAGUUGAUACCGACUAGCCUCGAUAACGGCUUAAAGAGAUAUCUUUUUGGUGUAACUAAGGUGGUACCGCGGGUUCAACUCGUCCUUUAA